GGCUUGGGCAGCUCCGUGGAGAGCGCGAGGCAUGGGGUGUGGCGUUGGCCCUUCCGCGGCGUGGGCGGGGCGUGCUCCCCGCCGCGCUCCUCAGCCGCGCUCCCUAGCUGGGUCAACUCUGCUGGACGGGUCCGGAAGACAGGCUCUGACAGGCUUCGCCUUGGGCGGUGACCUCUUGACUGCCCGUGCCUUUAGACAGGAAGUGAGCAAAUGCUGUUGGAAAAAUGGUGCCAGUAGACUCGCCCAACGCAUGGUCGCCACAGAUCUUCAAUUUGUAGAAGUGCGGUAUCUGCGAAGCACAGUAAAGUGAAGUGCAAUAAAAUGAGAUGACAUGAUUGUGUGCAGAAAUUCCUAAGGAAUCUCCAGAAUUUACGUUAGAGCUAAUGAGUGAAUUAAGAAGGCCGCAGGAUGCAAGAUCCUGAAGGAAAGCACGUCUUUCUCACGGGUUCUUUUUGAGGAUUAACAGAUAAUGUGUACGGGGCCUGACACAUCGCAGUUCGACUCUGAUGUGCGCUUGGCGCAUGAAGACCAGCGUAACAGCAGCAGCGAUGACUGUGCCGACACUCUGCCAUGCGGGCGCAUCACCUCUCCAAGAGCACGUCCCCGUGCAGCUGCCUCUAGCCCCCGUGCCUUUCCUUCUUUAGCUCUGUUUACUCAGGCCAUCCCCACCUUGCACGGAGAUCUCUGAGAUUUUGAGUGUAAAGUGCAUUUCCUCGUACAUCUCACAAAGGUGAGAGUGUAUUUUCUAGUACCUUUAUUAUCAUUUUCCAUAGUCAUGGAAAUGUUGAUUUACAUCUUUUAAAGCAGUAGCAAACCUAAUUCUUGGAUGUUUCUUUUCAAAAUGUGAAUGAAGAGUUUGGUUCAAUAAUCAACCCACAAAUGUGCUUGGAGAUCCUGCUCUGUGAAAGGCAUCAUUUUCUUGAAAUGAGAAAAUAUUGAAAAAUGUUAAGUGCACC